rnacentral:tRNA from 1 species
GUGGGUAUAGCUCAGUGGUAGAAUGCAUGCUUAGUAUGCCUGAGGUUCUGGGUUCAAUCCCCAGUAUCUCCA